UCAUUCUCAAUGUAGCUGGUCGCGGUGUUUUGGUUUCUUAUAAUCUUUCUCUCGUUUGUUCUUCAUUCUCUAUUCUUGCAUUCUGGUGAUUGUUGAUAUCGAUUACAUGAUUCCGAACUUUGCUGGUCUUGUUCUUGAUACUUGUAACCCGAUUGUUUCCUUUCUAUAUGGAAUUCAGAUUUUUAGAUUCUUAUUUUUGUCAUCUGAUACAUCUUAAUUGGGGGUUUGAUUAUGAUAUGACGAAGACUCUAAGAAAUCGACACUUCUUCUUUCGAUUGUUUUGAUAUUAUUCUUUCGAAAUUAUUGCUUAAUUGUUAGGGUUUCUUUAUCAGUUUUCUGUUCCAAGGUGUUGCCUAUUCAAGAUCGGAUCAUAGAAGUUUUACAAUUCUUGAUUCAAAGGAUUAAACACGGCUUAUUGUUAGGCACGUGGUGCAUCAAAAUAAUAACGGCACAGUGUUGAGCCAGCUCCACCGCCACCGCCUUGAGUUUGAUUUGCUGAUCUCUACACGGAAUAUCAUGAGUUCUUUUCGUUUAUACUCUUUGUCGGUUCUAAGUGUCUAGUUUUAUGGACUUUGUGAUUUUUCCUUUGGUGUUCUAGGAGAGGUAAUCUAUGAACUCUUGGUCACACAUGGAAGCUAUGGUGGAGACCCAUUCUGCUUUAGGUUUAAAUGCAAUCAAGACAACGUUUCUUUUUGUUCAAUUUAUUCAUCUCUAUUUGAUUUAUGGAUGGACUUCUUGUUUUUCAAUCUUUCAAUUCUGAUUGAUUAGUUUUUGUCGUUUGCUUCCCUUUUGUGAUUUCUUCAUGGGUGUUACAGGGUAUGAAUGUUGGUGGGAUGUGGUAGCUUUUGAAGAAUAACAAUCUUGGUCUCCAACCAUGGGAAUAAAAUCACUCUUUUUAUUUGUUUUUGUUAUUUAUGAAUAUUUUUAAGAUUUGGCUUCUUGACAGUGAGAACUGAAUGUUGUGGUCGUUGUGUUUUUCUGUAGAGUUAUAUAUAUUUCCUAUGGCAGGAUGGGGGAUUUUGGACGGUCAUGGCUGGGCUCUUUAUUCCUGCCUCUUGGUUUGGAUAAAUUUGCAACUCUUUUACUUUUCAUCGGAAGUUUUUGAUGGUGUUGAUCUAUGAAUGAUCUCUUCUCUCCUAAUUAAAUAUCAUCUUGGUUACAGUGGUACAUGAGACCUGCCUUUGGAGUUUGGUUAAAUUGUCACUUUUAUAUAUUGAGCACUGCAGUCUACAAUCAUCACAAUUGAAGUUGGAAUUUUGAAGGGAUUUUAUCAGACAAUAACAUGAACAGCUUAGGAUUAUUUUACUUUGACGAGUUUGUUUGUCUUUUUUCUUUCUUGAAUGUUUGCACAUAUGAAUUAAAUUGUGCACUUGUUUUUGUGCAGUUAAGUGUUUGAGAGCAACAUUACAUGAUAAAUCUAGCUUCAUGCACAAUUAUGGCGACACUUUCCUGGAGUUUGAAUUCUUGGUUCUUUGACAUAUUUCUCUUCCAUUUCACGAUUUUGAAGUCUGAUUUUUUGUGAAUUAUUGAAUAUAACGGGUUUGGUAUCAUCAGUUUGUGUGUGUUUAUUGUCUUGCCUCUUUAUCAGUUAUUACUUGAUAAUACUUAUCACUUAUCCACUAUCAAUUAUCACUUAUCACUUAUUAGUUAUCACUUUUUACUUAUCAACUAUCACUCAAAAGGCUAAGAAUUACUUGUGCUCAAGUGUAAGAGUGUUUUAAGAUUCUUGAUUUGGAAGGCUAAGAAUGGCAAAUGGUUUUGGAUUAAUCUAAUUUAUUCUAUAUUACUUUUAUUUUUCUGUCUAUGGUUUUAACACCAGUCAUACACAUUGUAUUGUUAACCUGUUUUUCAGCAGCGUAGGGUAUUAUAACAGUAACAUCCUUCAUAGUGUUCAGCCUUGAUUUGUUGCUCUCAACUGUAUUUCAUGAAUUCUUUUCAUAUCAAUAUUUCUUUGAUGAUUCUAAUUAUCUAGUUACCUAAAUUUGUGAUUUUUAUUUUGGUGUUAUAGGAGAGAUAACAUAUGAACACGCAGUGGCACAUGGAAACUAUGGCAUAGAUUGUCAAGGACUUCCUGUUCAGCUUUAUGUUUUUAAACACAAUCAAGACAAAAAUUCUUUUCAUUCAAUAUGAUUAUCUCUAUUUGGACUGUGGAUUUGGGUUUCCAGUCUUCCUUAUCAAUUUCGAGUGUUUAGUUUUAUCAAAUCAUUCCUUUUUGUGAUUUCUUCUUGGGUGUUACAGGGUUAUGUUGGUGGGGUGUUGUGGCUGUGGUUGAAGAUUAAGAUCUUGGUUUUCGACAACCUUGGGAAUAAAAUCAUUUUUUCUAGAUUGGUUGUCCUUAUGUCUUGAGAUUUGAUUUCUUGACAGUGUGAACUGGAAUGUGGGUGUCUUUGUGUUUUCCACAGGUUUCUGUACAUGUUAGAUAAUAUUUCCUAUCUCAGCCGCAGAUAAUUUAGGACAACAAGGUUUAUGUACAUGUUAGAUAAUAUUUCCUAUCUCAGCGGCGGAUAAUUUAGGACAGCAAGGUUGGGCUCUUUGUUCCUGCCUCUUUGUUUGGAAAAUUUUGCUACCUAUACAUUGGAAUAUUUUUUAUCAUGUUGAACUACAGGAAUCUCUCUCCUCCCUAAUCUUCUUCCUAACCUGCCUUUGCGUUAGAAGUUGAUGAAAUUGUCUGUAAAAUAUAUUGAGCACUGCUAUUUGCAAUCAACAUAAUUGAAGUUGGAAUUUUCAAGGGAUAUUAUCAGAUAACAUCUAAAGAUCAUUUAACUUGUUUUAGGAGUUUGGUUUCUUUUUUCUGGUUUCUGAUGGAUUACACAUUUGAAUAAACUAGUGCAAUUUGUUUUUGUGCAGUUGAGUGUUCGAAUAUUGUUGGGCAACAUUUUAUGAAGACGUUAGCUUCAUGCAUAAUUAUGGUGACCUUUUCUAGUUUUCACCGUUCCUACUUCUUUUCUUUUCACCAUUUCUUUAUCAGUUUUCUGUUCAGGGUUUCUAGCUUCAUGCAUAAUUGUUAGGGUUUCUUUAUCAGUUUUCUGUUCCAAGGUGUUGCCUAUUCAAGAUCGGAUCAUUAAAGUUUUACAAUUCUUGAUUCAUAGGAUUAAACACGGCUUAUUGUUAGGGUUUCGUCAUCAGUCUUCUGUAUCACUUAUUCUUUCUGGCUAUGGUCACAACGCAAGACAUUAAUGUCGAUUGUUACCCUGUUUUUCUGCAGCGCGUGGUGCAUCAAAAUAAUAACGGCACAGUGUUGAGCCACCGCCACCGCCUUGAGUUUGAUUUGCUGAUCUCUACACGGAAUAUCAUGAGUUCUUUUCGUUUAUAUGUCUCUUUGUCGGUUCUAAGUGUCUAGUUUUAUGGACUUUGUGAUUUUUCCUUUGGUGUUCUAGGAGAGGUAAUCUAUGAACUCUUGGUCACACAUGGAAGCUAUGGUGGAGACCCAUUCUGCUUUAGGUUUAAAUGCAAUCAAGACAACGUUUCUUUUUGUUCAAUUUAUUCAUCUCUAUUUGAUUUAUGGAUGGACUUCUUGUUUUUCAAUCUUUCAAUUCUGAUUGAUUAGUUUUUGUCGUUUGCUUCCCUUUUGUGAUUUCUUCAUGGGUGUUACAGGGUAUGAAUGUUGGUGAGAUGUGGUAGCUUUUGAAGAAUAACAAUCUUGGUCUCCAACCAUUGAACUACAGGAAUCUCUCUCCUCCCUAAUCUUCUUCCUAACCUGCCUUUGCGUUAGAAGUUGAUGAAAUUGUCUGUAAAAUAUAUUGAGCACUGCUAUUUGCAAUCAACAUAAUUGAAGUUGGAAUUUUCAAGGGAUAUUAUCAGAUAACAUCUAAAGAUCAUUUAACUUGUUUUAGGAGUUUGGUUUCUUUUUUCUGGUUUCUGAUGGAUUACACAUUUGAAUAAACUAGUGCAAUUUGUUUUUGUGCAGUUGAGUGUUCGAAUAUUGUUGGGCAACAUUUUAUGAAGACGUUAGCUUCAUGCAUAAUUAUGCGCGUGGUGCAUCAAAAUGAUAACGGCACAGUGUUGAGCCACCGCCACUGCCUUGAGUUUGAUUUGCUGAUCUCUACACGGAAUAUCAUGAGUUCUUUUUGUUUAUAUGUCUCUUUGUCGGUUCUAAGUGUCUAGUUUUAUGGACUUUGUGAUUUUUCCUUUGGUGUUCUAGGAGAGGUAAUCUAUGAACUCUUGGUCACACAUGGAAGCUAUGGUGGAGACCCAUUCUGCUUUAGGUUUAAAUGCAAUCAAGACAACGUUUCUUUUUGUUCAAUUUAUUCAUCUCUAUUUGAUUUAUGGAUGGACUUCUUGUUUUUCAAUCUCUAUUCUGAUUGAUUAGUUUUUGUCGUUUGCUUCCCUUUUGUGAUUUCUUCAUGGGUGUUACAGGGUAUGAAUGUUGGUGAGAUGUGGUAGCUUUGAAGAAUAACAAUCUUGGUCUCCAACCAUUGAACUACAGGAAUCUCUCUCCUCCCUAAUCUUCUUCCUAACCUGCCUUUGCGUUAGAAGUUGAUGAAAUUGUCUGUAAAAUAUAUU